rnacentral:rRNA from 1 species
CUACGAAAGGUGCAAGCGUUGUUCGGAUUUACUGGGCGUAAAGAGAGUGUAGGUUGUUUAUUAAGUCGGAUGUGAAAUCCCGGGGCUCAACCUCGGAACUGCAUUCGAUACUGGUAGACUAGAGUUCGGGAGGGGUAAGCGGAAUUCCGUGUGUAGCAGUGAAAUGCGUAGAUAUACGGAGGAACACCUGAGGCGAAGGCGGCUUACUGGACCGAUACUGACACUGAGACUCGAAAGCGUGGGUAGCAAACAGGAUUAGAAACCCGAGUAGUCC